rnacentral:rRNA from 1 species
CGAGUUAUCUGAACCUUCGGGGAACGAUAACGGCGUCGAGCGGCGGACGGGUGAGUAAUGCCUAGGAAAUUGCCCUGAUGUGGGGGAUAACCAUUGGAAACGAUGGCUAAUACCGCAUGAUGCCUACGGGCCAAAGAGGGGGACCUUCGGGCCUCUCGCGUCAGGAUAUGCCUAGGUGGGAUUAGCUAGUUGGUGAGGUAAGGGCUCACCAAGGCGACGAUCCCUAGCUGGUCUGAGAGGAUGAUCAGCCACACUGGAACUGAGACACGGUCCAGACUCCUACGGGAGGCAGCAGUGGGGAAUAUUGCACAAUGGGCGCAAGCCUGAUGCAGCCAUGCCGCGUGUGUGAAGAAGGCCUUCGGGUUGUAAAGCACUUUCAGUCGUGAGGAAGGUAGUGUAGUUAAUAGCUGCAUUAUUUGACGUUAGCGACAGAAGAAGCACCGGCUAACUCCGUGCCAGCAGCCGCGGUAAUACGGAGGGUGCGAGCGUUAAUCGGAAUUACUGGGCGUAAAGCGCAUGCAGGUGGUUUGUUAAGUCAGAUGUGAAAGCCCGGGGCUCAACCUCGGAAUAGCAUUUGAAACUGGCAGACUAGAGUACUGUAGAGGGGGGUAGAAUUUCAGGUGUAGCGGUGAAAUGCGUAGAGAUCUGAAGGAAUACCGGUGGCGAAGGCGGCCCCCUGGACAGAUACUGACACUCAGAUGCGAAAGCGUGGGGAGCAAACAGGAUUAGAUACCCUGGUAGUCCACGCCGUAAACGAUGUCUACUUGGAGGUUGUGGCCUUGAGCCGUGGCUUUCGGAGCUAACGCGUUAAGUAGACCGCCUGGGGAGUACGGUCGCAAGAUUAAAACUCAAAUGAAUUGACGGGGGCCCGCACAAGCGGUGGAGCAUGUGGUUUAAUUCGAUGCAACGCGAAGAACCUUACCUACUCUUGACAUCCAGAGAACUUUCCAGAGAUGGAUUGGUGCCUUCGGGAACUCUGAGACAGGUGCUGCAUGGCUGUCGUCAGCUCGUGUUGUGAAAUGUUGGGUUAAGUCCCGCAACGAGCGCAACCCUUAUCCUUGUUUGCCAGCGAGUAAUGUCGGGAACUCCAGGGAGACUGCCGGUGAUAAACCGGAGGAAGGUGGGGACGACGUCAAGUCAUCAUGGCCCUUACGAGUAGGGCUACACACGUGCUACAAUGGCGCAUACAGAGGGCGGCCAACUUGCGAAAGUGAGCGAAUCCCAAAAAGUGCGUCGUAGUCCGGAUUGGAGUCUGCAACUCGACUCCAUGAAGUCGGAAUCGCUAGUAAUCGUGGAUCAGAAUGCCACGGUGAAUACGUUCCCGGGCCUUGUACACACCGCCCGUCACACCAUGGGGAGUGGGCUGCAAAAGAAGUAGGUAGUUUAACCUUCGGGGGGGACGCUUACCACUUUGUGGUUCAUGACUGGGGGUGAAGUCU